GCCAGAGUGGUGUAGUGGUUUGAGCAUUGGACUAUGACUCUGGAGACCAGGGUUCAACUCCUAGCUCGGCCA